rnacentral:rRNA from 1 species
AUUGAACGCUGGCGGCAGGCCUAACACAUGCAAGUCGAGCGAGCGGCGGACGGGUGCAUAAGGUAUGGGGAUUGCCCGACAGAGGGGGAUAACUACUGGAACCGGUGGCUAAUACCGCUUACUACAGGAUAACCCAUAUGGGAUUAGCCAGUAGGUGGGGUAAAGGCUCACCUAGGCGACGAUGUCUAGCUGGUCUGAUAGGAUGAUCAGCCACACUGGGACUGGGACACUGCCCAGAAUCCUACGGAGGCAGCAGUGGGGAAUAUUGCUCAAUGGGCGCAAGCCUGAUGCAGCCAAGCCGCGUGUAUGAAGAAGGCCUUAGGGUUGUAAAGUACUUUCAGCGGGGAGGCGUUACCCGCAGAAGAAGCACCGGCUAACUCCGUGCCAGCAGCCGCGGUAAUUC